CGUGCUUAACACAUGCAAGUCGAACGAUGAACCUCGCUUGCGGGGGGAUUAGUGGCGAACGGGUGAGUAACACGUGAGUAACCUGCCCUUAACUCUGGGAUAAGCCUGGGAAACUGGGUCUAAUACUGGAUAUUGACUUUACCUCGCAUGGGGUUUGGUUGAAAGCUUUUGUGGUUUUGGAUGGACUCGCGGCCUAUCAGCUUGUUGGUGAGGUAAUGGCUCACCAAGGCGACGACGGGUAGCCGGCCUGAGAGGGUGACCGGCCACACUGGGACUGAGACACGGCCCAGACUCCUACGGGAGGCAGCAGUGGGGAAUAUUGCACAAUGGGCGAAAGCCUGAUGCAGCGACGCCGCGUGAGGGAUGACGGCCUUCGGGUUGUAAACCUCUUUCAGUAGGGAACAAGGCUACACGUUGUGUGGUUGAGGGUACCUGCAGAAGAAGCGCCGGCUAACUACGUGCCAGCAGCCGCGGUAAUACGUAGGGCGCAAGCGUUAUCCGGAAUUAUUGGGCGUAAAGAGCUCGUAGGCGGUUUGUCGCGUCUGCCGUGAAAGUCCGGGGCUCAACCCCGGAUCUGCGGUGGGUACGGGCAGACUAGAGUGAUGUAGGGGAGACUGGAAUUCCUGGUGUAGCGGUGAAAUGCGCAGAUAUCAGGAGGAACACCGAUGGCGAAGGCAGGUCUCUGGGCAUUAACUGACGCUGAGGAGCGAAAGCAUGGGGAGCGAACAGGAUUAGAUACCCUGGUAGUCCAUGCCGUAAACGUUGGGCACUAGGUGUG
rnacentral:rRNA from 1 species